rnacentral:rRNA from 1 species
AUGGCGACGGCAGCCACCACCGCCGCGGCCGUUCCCGCCGGCCGCCACCAGCACCGCCACCACCUAGGCCUGCGCCCAUGCCCCAACCCGCGUCGCCUGCACCGACUGCGUCUCCCUGCCUCAGUUGCUUUUUCUUCCCCAUCCGCCCCGUCCACCUCCUCCUCCUCGUCGCUAUCGGCCCCGGCGACGCCGCCGCCGGAGGGAGGAGGGAGGCUGGUGGCGGAGCUUGUGGGCGUGUUCAACGAGCUCACGGGUAGGAUGGGAGAGGGCCUGGCCACCACCUCCUCGUCGCGCCUGCUCUUCCGCGCGCUCAAACUGGCCCUCCCCGCCCUCCGCGACGGCGACGGCGGCCAGGCCCUCACGCGAGCCCUCGCGGUGGCCGCGACCUUAGCCGACCUCCAGAUGGACGCGGAAGUUAUUUCAGCCGGCAUAUUGAGGAAAGCGCUUGAUGCAGGGACUAUAAGCAUGAGCGAUGUAGAAGCUCAAAUUGGGACUGGCAUAGCUGAUUUACUGCACGAGAGCUUAAGGCUUAAGGUUGCUCCUUCGAAAGUCGACGUAUUGGAUGAUGAAAGUGCGAGCUCAUUGAGAAAGUUUUUCCUUUCGUACUAUGACAUCCGGGCAGUAAUCUUGGAGCUUUCUCUGAAGCUUGAUACGAUGAGACACCUUCAGUACCUCCCCAAGCAUCUUCAGCGAGUAAAAUCUCUUGAAGUAAUGAAGAUAUAUGCUCCACUUGCUCAUGCUGUCGGGGCUGGUAAUCUGUCGCUAGAGUUGGAAGAUCUUUCUUUUAGGUACUUGUUUCCUCAUUCAUAUGACCAUGUCGAUCAAUGGUUGAGGAACCGAGAAGCCGAGUGCAAGCUCUUGAUAAAUGCCUACAAGGCGCAGUUGCUUCAGGCACUGAAGUCCGAUGAUGAGCUAAACGAGAUUGUGCAGGACAUCUCAAUUGAAGGGCGGUACAAAAGCCGUUUCAGUACUAUGAAGAAGCUAGUAAAAGAUGGCCGGAAACCAGAAGAAGUAAAUGACAUACUUGGUUUACGGAUAAUCUUGGACCCUCGAUGCGAUGGUGGCUCAUCUGAUUGGGGCCCCAGGGCCUGUCACAGGACACACGAAAUCAUUCGAGCUCUAUUGAAGGAAGUGCCAGGUAGGACAAAGGACUAUGUGACACAGCCAAAAAGAAAUGGCUAUCAGAGCCUGCAUGUGGCAAUCGAUGUAAGUGAACCUGGGAAGACGAGGCCACUAAUGGAGAUACAAAUACGCACCAAGGAGAUGCACAGAAUUGCUAUUGGUGGAGAAGCGUCUCACUCUCUCUACAAGGGUGGUCUUACGGAUCCUGGAGAGGCUAAAAGACUCAAGGCUAUUAUGUUGGCUGCGGCAGAACUGGCAGCUCAUCGCCUUCGAGACCUCCCAGCCAGUGAUCAUCGAGGAGGUGAAUGCAAGAACCAGGCUUUCUGCCUUAUAGACAAAAAUGGUGAUGGGAGGAUCAGCAUCGAGGAGCUCACGGAGGUGAUGGAAGAUCUUGGUGCCGAGGGCGAGGAUGCGAUGGCGCUCAUGCAUCUCCUUGAUGCAAACAGCGAUGGUUCCCUGAGCUUCGAUGAAUUCGAGUCGUUCCAGAGACAGGUUGAAUUGAUGAGAAGCUUGGAGGACAGGGAUGACCACUACACGAAGAUACUGAAGGAUAAGUUGCAGACAAUCGACAGCGCUGGCCUCAUUCACUUCUACCGCAAAGAGCUGGGAGACAAACUGCUUGUGAGCUGA